AGUCACGCUGUAAACGAUGUCGAUUUGGAGUUUGUUGCCUAGAGUGAUGGGCUCCGAAGCUAACGCGAUAAAUCGACCGCUGGGGAGUACGGCCGCAAGGUUAAAACUCAAAUGAAUUGACGGGGGCCCGCACAAGCGGUGGAGCAUGUGGUUUAAUUCGAUGCAACGCGAAGAACCUUACCUGGUCUUGACAUCCAUAGAAUUCUGCAGAGAUGUGGGAGUGCCUUCGGGAACUAUGAGACAGGUGCUGCAUGGCUGUCGUCAGCUCGUGUUGUGAAAUGUUGGGUUAAGUCCCGCAACGAGCGCAACCCUUAUUCUUUGUUGCCAGCGAUUUGGUCGGGAACUCAAAGGAGACUGCCGUUGAUAAGGCGGAGGAAGGUGGGGACGACGUCAAGUCAUCAUGGCCCUUACGACCAGGGCUACACACGUGCUACAAUGGCGUAUACAAAGGGAAGCGAAGGUGCGAGCUGGAGCGGAUCUCAUAAAGUACGUCUAAGUUCGGAUUGGAGUCUGCAACUCGACUCCAUGAAGUCGGAAUCGCUAGUAAUCGUAGAUCAGAAUGCUACGGUGAAUACGUUCCCGGGCCUUGUACACACCGCCCGUCACACCAUGGGAGUGGGUUGCACCAGAAGUAGAUAGCUUAACCGCGAGGGGGGCGUUUACCACGGUGUGAUUCAUGACUGGGGUGAAGUCGUAACAAGGUAACCA
rnacentral:rRNA from 1 species